rnacentral:rRNA from 1 species
GGUUAAGCGACUAAGCGUACACGGUGGAUGCCCUGGCAGUCAGAGGCGAUGAAGGACGUGCUAAUCUGCGAAAAGCGUCGGUAAGGUGAUAUGAACCGUUACAGCCGGCGAUGUCCGAAUGGGGAAACCCAGUGCAAUUCGUUGCACUAUCGUUAACUGAAUACAUAGGUUAACGAGGCGAACCGGGGGAACUGAAACAUCUAAGUACCCCGAGGAAAAGAAAUCAACCGAGAUUCCCCCAGUAGCGGCGAGCGAACGGGGAGCAGCCCAGAG